ACAUAACAUUCUCAACUAGGUGACCACUAUCGCUUUCUCUCUGCGAUUCUUUUUCUGGUGGUCAGAGAUCCUUUUAACACUUAUCCGCAAGUUUUAUCGCUCCGUCGGUCCUUCAUUCCGGUGAGAUUUUUAUUCUUCCUCCGCCGUUUGACUUUGUCGUCAGUGAGAUCCAUCUCCGGAACUUGGCAGUACAGAGAUUUGCUGAUGACCUCUCCCCUGUCUCACUUUGCGGUGAAGACAUUUGUGAAGAGUCCACUUAAUCGUCUUGCUAUGUCGACAAUCCCAAACAAACAGAUCCUUGCUAAAUCAGAUCAUUAUUCGCUGCCUAACCAUCUUCGCGGAUGAGAAACUAGGGUUUCCUGGUUGGGUCAAGAUUUGAGCAUGUAGCAAGAUGGGCCUGGUGAAUUUAAAGACCAAACAAUCAAUUUAUUUUGUAACCCACUCGCCAACGUUGUUAAGGCCUGUUUUUCUUAAAAGUGAUAACCCAUGUCAUUUCUUCCUUUCACGCUUCUAGUUCAUCAAUGGAUGUUGAGGCUGUGAUAUCGUAUUUGAUGAAGCUUCAAAGAAGUUCUGAAAUGUGAUGGUGCUAAUCAAGAUGUACUUCCACUCUAUUUCGACCAGCACUCAUGUGAUAAGCACAUAACCAGAGUAAACCGGUGUCAUAGAAAAGAGAUGUGGUCUCGUGAUGGCUCCUAAACUAAUGGGAUUGUACUCUCCACUCUCCACG
rnacentral:sRNA from 1 species